rnacentral:rRNA from 1 species
GACGAACGCUGGCGGCGUGCUUAACACAUGCAAGUCGAACGGAAAGGCCCUGCCUUUGUGGGGUGCUCGAGUGGCGAACGGGUGAGUAACACGUGAGUAACCUGCCCUUGACUUUGGGAUAACUUCAGGAAACUGGGGCUAAUACCGGAUAGGAGCUCCUGCUGCAUGGUGGGGGUUGGAAAGUUUCGGCGGUUGGGGAUGGACUCGCGGCUUAUCAGCUUGUUGGUGGGGUAGUGGCUUACCAAGGCUUUGACGGGUAGCCGGCCUGAGAGGGUGACCGGCCACAUUGGGACUGAGAUACGGCCCAGACUCCUACGGGGGGCAGCAGUGGGGAGUAUUGCACAAUGGGCGGAAGCCUGUUGCAGCAACGCCGCGUGCGGGAUGACGGCCUUCGGGUUGUAAACCGCUUUCGCCUGUGACGAAGCGUGAGUGACGGUAAUGAGUAAAGAAGCACCGGCUAACUACGUG